CGCGGCGGGGCGGAGCUGCUGCUGCUGCUGCCGCUUGAGCGCCCGGGAUAUUUACCUGGCGGCGCCCCGCCCGCUUCUCCUGCUGGCAGGUAUUAUUGGUUGAAGUUGAAGAAGUCGUUGACAGGAUCACUGACUGGUGUAUUUACUGCAAGCUGUUUAGUACAUCUGUCAGGGUGUCUUACACUGUCUUUAGAUCAUCCCAAGUAUUCAUUACACAAGAACAUGUUGCUACCUGGAGGGUUUAAAAUCCAGUGAGAAAAAUAUCCAGCCAAGAAGGAAAUGCUGGUUGAUGAGCAGAAGAGCGAGCCAGUCAACCAGACAAAAAAACAGUGGCCUACAAAAGCUUGAAAAGGAGAAACUAAGUUGACCCUCAUGGCUAUCGGGGCAGAACUUGAAUUAAUGCGAAUUAGAACAUUGCUGGGAGGGGCCUCAGAGAUCUUCUAGUCCAGCCCACUGCUCAAGCAGGAGAUCCUAUACCUCUUCUGAAUCUCAAGCAAGAAAAAUCCCAACUUCUGCAAAUUGGUUUACCUUUUGUGAACCUUAAGAUACCCUGAUGUUCUAUAUAGGUGUUCUGACCUAGGCUUCCCGAUACAGUAAAAAGCACGUGCUUAGUCCCCAAAACCCUCUUUUUAUUUCA